rnacentral:lncRNA from 1 species
CUCCACACUUUAGGCGCUGAGAGGGGAAAUCUCUGUCCGUGUUCGGCCCAUAGCCUCGCUGAUGGGGUUGCUGAUGGCUGUGCUGAUUCUGAGUGCUCCGAAUGCUGUGGCUCCAGCCUGCUGCUUCUCUCCGAGCCCAGGGCGGGGGCCGUGGGAAGGGCCUGGUUCAAGUGCAGAGGAUGGGUUACCGUCCUGAACUUCAAGCCUGGGAACAGCAGCCUUGGCGCUGCUUGCCUGUCUGACGGUGAAGCACACGUGCACUGGGCUGAGCUGGGUGAAACUCGCAACCUGUGCACAGGCCAGGCUCCAGGAACCGCUCACAGCCCCGGGGAGGUUUCAGAUCUCAGCAGUCCAGGCAGCAGCUGCUUCUUGGUUAAUUCACCUCCCAUCCGUAUGGGAGAGACUUUUCUUAGCGACAUGCUCUGUGUUGUGGCGAUUGGGGUCCCCUUCCUUGACAGGAGCAAAUCCCCAUCUACGCCCCUUCCCCAGGGAGCAGCCUGAUCCCUUAGACUCUAGUAGCUGGAGCUUUGCCUAGUUCUAAAGGAUCCACCCCAUGCUUUGGAGGAGGCUUAUUCCAGGUGGAAGAGAUCUCGCUGGGCCCCAGGGCGCUGGAACAGUCCGUGAGCUGUCCCGGGGCCAUUGCCUCUGGGGGGAGGGACUUGGGGAAGGCCCCUCCCACUCCCAAGGAUCUGCUGGGGGAAGGAGCGGUCUUCUCCGCAGAGCCGGAAGCCCAUCCUGUCCACUGCUGCUCCCUCCCGCCAGCAGGGCUGCAGGCCCCCAGAGGCCAUUGGGGAGCAGCUGCAGAGGGAAGGAAGACAGCUGGGAGCUGCGUUUUCCAAGGCGCUCGCUGCUGUCUCAUGACUGGCUCCGUCUCCUGGAAGGUGGCUCUGCUCUCGAAGCCAUAAAGAAAAGGAGCAGAGACGCGGCAGCAGUGCAGGGAGCUCCAGCUGCUGGGAGCCAAGGCAGAGAGGGGGCAGCUGUACCCCCUGCCCCGCGCUCAGCCAGGGAAAAUGAGCUGCCCGUCCACCCAGAGCGGGGAGCAGAUCGAGCCGCUCAGGUACCUCAGGAGGUGUGGUGGCUCAGCAGGGCUGCGGGAGGUGUCCAGAGCACUGGGAUGGUCUGGAUUAGUGCAGUCGCUGUGAUCUCAUUGGGGAGCCCAGGGAGCGGUACCAGGGCCAAGGAGAGAAGAAACUUCCAUUCUCAGUCCCUGGCAGGAGGAUUGGCCGGGCCCCUCCACAUUCGAGCAGAGGGGCGGCAUGGAGGAAGCACGAGGUACAGCCCACAGCCUCUGGGGGCGUCACCCAGCCCUGCCCCCACGUACAGCAGGGCUGUCAGCUACUCGGGCCUCCCGGCCCUUCUAGGGACGCCUCUCUCGGGAAGGAGAGAGAAAUCGUGUGGCACUUGUAUCAGGGACACAACGAUGCACCUCAGCCUUCAUGCUGACGGGACAAGCUGACGAGAGCUGUUCCCCAUGGCCCCCCCACAGGCUGACCUGGAAUGGGGCACACCCCAGAGCAUCAUCUCAAAGCCAGGAUUACCGGGAUGGGCCAGCUGGCAUCUCCCUGCCCUGUGGGAGGACCCACCUGCCAAGCACCCCUGGAAAUGGGACCUUGAGCCUGCCCUCUUCCACUCCCAGCUCCUGGGAGCCGAGUUGUCCUGGAGCUGGAAUAUCCCCAGCUGGGCCAGGGCCCUGCUUAGGGUGGCUCCUGCAGGCUGGCCCGGGGCAGGUUGGGGGACCUGCUGUGUGCUGGGGGUCAUGCCCCAUCUGGGCUCAUGUAGCAGGAGCUAAGAGACAUCGCUGUCCCGGCUCUAGACAGGUCUCUGCCCCCACUGGGCCUGUUCUGUCUGCUG